CUACGGGUGGCUGCAGUGGGGAAUAUUGCACAAUGGGCGAAAGCCUGAUGCAGCAACGCCGCGUGAGGGACGACGGCCUUCGGGUUGUAAACCUCUUUUAGCAGGGAAGAAGCGAAAGUGACGGUACCUGCAGAAAAAGCACCGGCUAACUACGUGCCAGCAGCCGCGGUAAUACGUAGGGUGCAAGCGUUGUCCGGAAUUAUUGGGCGUAAAGAGCUCGUAGGCGGUUUGUCGCGUCUGCUGUGAAAAUCCGAGGCUCAACCUCGGACCUGCAGUGGGUACGGGCAAACUAGAGUGCGGUAGGGGAGAUAGGAAUUCCUGGUGUAGCGGUGGAAUGCGCAGAUAUCAGGAGGAACACUAAUGGCGAAGGCAGAUCUCUGGGCCGUAACUGACGCUGAGGAGCGAAAGCGUGGGGAGCGAACAGGAUUAGAUACCCGAGUAGUC
rnacentral:rRNA from 1 species